AAAAAAAUGGUGCCAAUAGAUUUGCUCGACGCAGGGUUGUCACAAACCUUCGAGUUUUCAAACACGGAAUAUCUGCAAUGCGCAAUAAAAGGAGGUGUACAGGAGACCAACUUUUAGAUUGAACACUACCUGAAAAAUUCUCUUCAACCCUGAAGAAAAUAUCAACUCCUUGGGAUUCCCACUUUUGAGUUCUCUAAAAAUUCUCUCCUGACUGAAGCCACCUGGAUUUUUUAUUGUUUUACAAAUUUAUGUCCACUGUGUUUGUGAGCUAUGGGUAGAUGGCAAACAAUCAGCAGGAUUGAGUUCCCUUUGGCAUAACUGACGUUAGUCAUUCUUCUUAAAAGAACAAUGCUUUUUCUAGUCCUGGAUUGAACAGUAGACUGAAAGUCAAACAGAGGUCUCAUGCUACUUCUAAUGACCUUUCUGAAUUUGAAUGGGUAAAUUAUUUUCUGGUCUUCACUCUCUUCAAAAAUACAGUUAAAGGUUUUCCUUUUGUGGCAAAAUUUCUUAAUCUAUUUGUGUUUAUGCCUGUGUAUACGUGCAAGUGUGUAUGUGAGAGACAGAUAGUAAAAUCUGUUCCUCUUAGUUCCAUUAUACCAGGCAGUAAAUGUAAUCAGCAAAUAUUUUAUAACUGGUGUUUAGAUAAUAGCACAGCAUAAUUUGUGGGCUUUGACGAUCAAAUAUUCAAUACACAUUCAAUAAAAUGACAAUAAUUCCACUGGAUUGAUUGGCAGACAGAUUUCUGGAGCAAAACUUGUAAGUAAAUGAAAUCCAUGUUAACUGUAUCAAUCUUUAUGACGGUGUCUUAUGAAAUUAUAGUUUUAGAGCAAGUGACUCCAUAUUUCCGCAUCUUUUUGUGCAGUGGGAAAUAAACUUUUUAAAGCUGGAAAACACUUGUAACUGAUACGUGAAGUUCUGUCCAAGGUCAGUAAAGAAUCAAUUCAGUGACCUCUAUAGACAUAUAAAAUUUAAUCAAAACGAGUUAAAAAUGUAUUCACCCUUUA